GUGCAGCAGUCGCGAAAACUUUACAAUGCGGGAAACCGCGAUAAGGGGACACCGAGUGCCAGCAUACUAUGUUGGCUGUCCACAUGUGUAAAUAGCAUGUGUUAGCAAGGGCCGGGCAAGACCGGUGCCAGCCGCCGCGGUAACACCGGGCGGCCCGAGUGGUAAUCACUAUUAUUGGGUCUAAAGGGUCCGUAGCCGGUUUGGUUAGUCUUCCGGGAAAUCUGAUAGCUUCAACUAUUAGGCUUCCGGGUGAUACUGUCCGACUUGGGA
rnacentral:rRNA from 1 species